rnacentral:rRNA from 1 species
UACGUAGGUGGCAAGCGUUGUCCGGAUUUACUGGGCGUAAAGAGCGCGCAGGCGGUUGAUUAAGUCGAAUGUGAAAGCCCCCGGCUCAACUGGGGAGGGUCAUUCGAUACUGAUCAACUUGAAGGCAGGAGAGGGAAGUGGAAUUCCGGGUGUAGUGGUGAAAUGCGUAGAUAUCGGGAGGAACACCAGUGGCGAAGGCGACUUCCUGGCCUGUUCUUGACGCUGAGGCGCGAAAGCUAGGGGAGCAAACGGG